rnacentral:rRNA from 1 species
UGAGGAAUGUUGGUCAAUGGGCGCAAGCCUGAACCAGCCAUCCCGCGUGAAGGAAGAAGGCGCUAUGCGUUGUAAACUUCUUUUCCAGGGGGAGAAUUUUUCCGUCGUGACGGGAAUUGAUGGUACUCUGGGAAUAAGCAUCGGCUAACUCCGUGCCAGCAGCCGCGGUAAUACGGAGGAUGCGAGCGUUAUCCGGAUUUAUUGGGUUUAAAGGGUGCGUAGGCGGAUAGAUAAGUCAGUGGUGAAAUUCUGCAGCUUAACUGUAGACUUGCCGUUGAUACUGUCAGUCUUGAGUAUGGUCAAGGCAGGCGGAAUGUGUAAUGUAGCGGUGAAAUGCUUAGAUAUUACACAGAACACCGAUUGCGAAGGCAGCUUGCUGGGCCAUUACUGACGCUGAGGCACGAAAGCGUGGGGAUCGAACAG